UUAGAGAGUGCCUCGCGUAGGGAGCACGAGGAGAAGGAGGAGCUUCGCAGGUUGUUUUUUCCCGGGAGGCCGACUCCGCCGAGUCGGUGGCGGCUGCAGGCUGGGAGGGAGCGGUGCUACGCCUUCGGAGGUUGGCGAAGUGGUUCCAGGCUACCCGGCUAGUCUGGCACGGCCCCGUCUUCUGCCUCCUCCUCCGUCUCGUGGCGGCGGGAACUGUUGGCCGCGCGGCCUCGGGAACGGCCCAGCUCCCGGGCAGAUAACAUAGAUCAUCAGUAGAAAACUUCUUGAAGUUGUUCAAGAAAAAUUUGAAAGUAGCAAAAUAGAAAACAAAGAAUUAACAGCAGAUACAGAGGACAGCAUGGAAGUGUUGUCUUAGGAAACAGAACACAGCAGUGAAAAAACAGACAAAAUCCGCUCAGAUACAACUGCAGCUGAUAAUGUUUUCCGGCUUCAAUGUCUUUAGAGUUGGGAUCUCUUUUGUCAUAAUGUGCAUUUUUUACAUGCCAACAGUAAACUCUUUACCAGAACUGAGUCCUCAGAAAUAUUUUAGUACAUUGCAACCAGGAAAAGCCUCUUUAGCUUAUUUUUGUCAAGCUGAUUCCCCAAGAACAUCUGUAUUUCUUGAAGAACUGAAUGAGGCUGUUAGACCUCUGCAGGACUAUGGAAUUUCAGUUGCCAAGGUUAAUUGUGUCAAAGAAGAAAUAUCAAGAUACUGUGGAAAAGAAAAGGAUUUGAUGAAAGCAUAUUUAUUCAAGGGCAACAUAUUGCUCAGAGAAUUCCCUACUGACACCUUGUUUGAUGUGAAUGCCAUUGUCGCCCAUGUUCUCUUUGCUCUUCUUUUUAAUGAAGUGAAAUAUAUUACCAACCUGGAAGACCUUCAGAACAUAGAAAAUGCUCUGAAAGGAAAAGCAAAUAUUAUAUUCUCAUAUGUAAGAGCCAUUGGAAUACCAGAGCACAGAGCAGUCAUGGAAGCCGCUUUUGUGUAUGGGACUACAUACCAAUUUGUCUUAACCACAGAAAUUGCCCUUUUGGAAAGUAUUGGCUCUGAGGAUGUGGAAUAUGCACAUCUCUACUUUUUUCAUUGUAAACUAGUCUUGGACUUGACCCAGCAAUGUAGAAGAACACUAAUGGAACAGCCAUUGACUACACUGAACAUUCACCUGUUUAUUAAGACAAUGAAAGCACCUCUGUUGACUGAAGUUGCUGAAGAUCCUCAACAAGUUUCAACUGUCCAUCUCCAACUGGGCUUACCACUGGUUUUUAUUGUUAGCCAACAGGCUACUUAUGAAGCUGAUAGAAGAACUGCAGAAUGGGUUGCAUGGCGUCUUCUGGGAAAAGCAGGAGUUCUGCUCUUGUUAAGGGACUCUUUGGAAGUGAACAUUCCUCAAGAUGCUAAUGUGGUCUUCAAAAGAGCAGAAAAGGGAGUUCCAGUGGAAUUUUUGGUAUUACAUGAUGUUGAUUUAAUAAUAUCUCAUGUGGAAAAUAAUAUGCACAUUGAGGAAAUACAAGAAGAUGAAGACAAUGACAUGGAAGGUCCAGAUAUAGAUGUUCAGGAUGAUGAAGUGGCAGAAACUGUUUUCAGAGAUAGGAAGAGAAAAUUACCUUUGGAACUUACAGUGGAACUCACAGAAGAAACAUUUAAUGCAACAGUGAUGGCUUCUGACAGCAUAGUACUCUUCUAUGCUGGUUGGCAAGCAGUAUCCAUGGCAUUUUUGCAAUCCUAUAUUGAUGUGGCAGUUAAACUGAAAGGCACAUCUACUAUGCUUCUUACUAGAAUAAACUGUGCAGAUUGGUCUGAUGUAUGUACUAAGCAAAAUGUUACUGAAUUUCCUAUCGUAAAGAUGUACAAGAAAGGCGAGAACCCUGUAUCUUAUGCUGGGAUGUUAGGAACCGAAGAUCUCCUAAAAUUUAUCCAGCUUAACAGGAUUUCAUAUCCAGUGAAUAUAACAUCGAUCCAAGAAGCAGAAGAAUAUUUAAGUGGGGAAUUAUAUAAAGACCUCAUCUCCUAUUCUAGUGUGUCAGUACUGGGACUAUUUAGUCCAACCAUGAAAACAGCAAAAGAAGAUUUUAGUGAAGCAGGAAACUACCUAAAAGGAUAUGUUAUCACUGGAAUUUAUUCUGAAGAAGAUGUUUUGCUACUGUCAACCAAAUAUGCUGCAAGUCUUCCAGCCCUGCUGCUUGCCAGACACACAGAAGGCAAAAUAGAGAGUGUCCCACUAGCUAGCACCCAUGCACAAGACAUAGUUCAAAUAAUAACAGAUGCACUACUGGAAAUGUUUCCGGAAAUCACUGUGGAAAAUCUUCCCAGUUACUUCAGACUUCAGAAACCAUUAUUGAUUUUGUUCAGUGAUGGCACUGUAAAUCCUCAGUAUAAAAAAGCAAUAUUGACACUGGUAAAGCAGAAAUACUUGGAUUCAUUUACUCCAUGCUGGUUAAAUCUAAAGAAUACUCCAGUCGGGAGAGGAAUCUUGCGGGCAUAUUUUGAUCCUCUGCCUCCCCUUCCUCUUCUUGUUUUGGUGAAUCUGCAUUCAGGUGGCCAAGUAUUUGCAUUUCCUUCAGACCAGGCUAUAAUUGAAGAAAACCUUGUAUUGUGGCUGAAGAAAUUAGAAGCAGGACUAGAAAAUCAUAUCAUAAUUUUACCUGCUCAGGAAUGGAAACCUCCUCUUCCAGCUUAUGAUUUUCUAAGUAUGAUAGAUGCCGCAACGUCUCAACAUGGCACUAGGAAAGUUCCCAAGUGUAUGAAAGAAACAGAUGUGCAGGAGAAUGAUAAGGAACAACAUGAAGACAAAUCGGCAGUCAGAAAAGAACCAAUUGAAACUUUGAGAAUAAAGCAUUGGAAUAGAAGUAAUUGGUUUAAAGAAGCAGAAAAAUCAUUUAGACGUGAUAAAGAGUUAUGAUGCUCAAAAGUGAACUAAUUUUAUAGGGCUGUGGUUUCCCAGAUUUUUUUGGCAUGAUAGACUUAAUUUAUUUCCUUAAAGAAUAAUACUAAAUCAUUUCAAGUUUGCAGAUUAGUGCCAUCCAAUAGAAUUAUAAGUCACAUGUUUUGUUUAAAAUUUUCUAGUAACUACAUUAAACAAAGUAAAAGUGAGCAGGGCAAAAUAAUUUUGAUAUUACUUUUCACCCAGUAGUAUACCCAAAAUAGCUAAAUAUAGAAAUUAUUAAUGAGAUAUUUUACAUCCUUUUUUGUACCAAAUCUUCUAAAUGCAGUACAUAUUUUAUACUUACUGCAUUUCUUACUUCCGAGUAGCCAUAUUUCAAGUGUUCAUUGCCACAUGUGGCCUGUGACUACUGUAUUGGACAGUUCAGUACUAGACAAAAACUAGCAUAAUUAACUUAGUUCUAGCCAUGAUUUAUAUUUGGAUUAAAAUUAAAAUAUAACUCUAAUCACAGUUAACUCCACAGUGCAUUCAUGCAGCUGAAAGUUAUAUUUGUUUUGUUGUAGUCAUGAUAUUAAAAUCAGCGUUUGUCAACCUCAGGGGAUAUUUAGCAAUUGUCGGGAGACAUUUCUGAUGUCAUGACUAGGGCAGUUAUUGACAUUUAGUGAGUAGAGGCCAGGGAUGCUGCUAAAUAACCUGCAUUGGACAGCGCCCCACAACGAAGAAUUAUCCUGCCCAAAAUGUUAGUAGUGCCAAAGCUGAGUAACCUUGUGUUAAAAGUAACCUGUGGCAGACUAGGUUUCCAGAAUUUCCUGGUUCUGCUCAAGUAUCAUGUUUGAAAAAAUUUUGGCUAUUAAAGAUAUGUAUUAGAUGGUCUUAUCCUGAUUAUUACCUGGAUACAACUUGAUCUUUUCUAAUAUUUUCAGAAAGUGAUGGGAUAACCCUAGAAGAGGACUCAGAAUGAUAUUUAUAUUUUAAAAAAAGAGAAUGAAUGCAGAGGAGGAAAAACAAUGAAGAAAUAGAAAACCCAUGAAUCCUCAAGACACUGCUUGCUGUUCUUCUACCAUCCUCUGUAUCCUUUUCAGGUCUUUCUGCUACCUCUUACCCAUUUUUGAGAGCUCCAAAAGCCCUCUCUCCACCCUGAGUGGUUAUAGCUUUCCUGUAUAUUCUCCUGGUCCUCUAGUAGGGUUGGUCGCCAGUGCAUAUUUACAUUUUGUAUAACAUUUCAUGUCUCAUGAGUCAUAUUAUUUCACCCUCUCCUGCCUCACCUGUGCUAGAAUGUAAAUAUCCUUGGUCCAUUGUUUCCAGCCCUUGUGAUGAAAUGUUUCACGAGCUGUUUUUCAAAAUUCCUAGAGUUCCUCACUUAUGCCUAUGCUUCUUUAAAAAGUAAUUAAAUAUGUGUAAGGUGAAAAAUAAGAGUUUGCAAAUCAGUGUCUAUUUCAGUAAUAAAAAGUAAUCGAGUAGAUACACCUUAGGAUUUUCACUUCCACCUAAGACGUAGAAAACUGCAAGAGAAUGUUACUCCUAUCCUAACAACAAAAAUUUAUCAAUUUUCUUAUAUCCUUCAGAGAAAGUAGCCAAAGGAACUGAAUUUCAAAGAGUGACAAGUCCCCUUCAAAGAGAAACAGGAUAUGUGAACUGUUUUGCCUUCAUCAGAGAAUAGGAGGCUGCCAUUAAAGCAAGUGAGAAUAAAUUAUAAAGAAUUUAGAAGCGCUCCUUGCAAGUUAGUUUGCCUCAGAUUCCUGAAUUGGAAACAAAGGACUUUAUUACACCAGUAGCGUUAGUCAGAGUGUCAGCAUCCCCACAGUGUUAUCAGAAGAGGCCCAGGUGAUACCUGCACACAGAGUGGAUUGCAUAACAGAAAGAACCCUGAGUUUAGGGAGCGUAAAUAUGUUAUAAUGGAUAUUUAGCAUGCAUGCCCUUUGCUCUGGAGGAAUAGAUCUUUAUUAUACUGGACAGUAAUCAAACUUGUCCUUCUAGAGGGAGAUACUCUCUAGGGAGAUGAUAUCUCUAUUGGUCUUUCCAGGCUGUUCUUUAUAUAAACAUCCUUGAAAAGGUAGUCCAGAAGAAAGGCAGGCAGUACCUUUCCAUGCAAUCAUGCAAAAAUGUGACAGACCCGUGGAGAAUUGUCUACUGACAGAAAUCAUUAAAUGUUAAGGAAUUCUUUAAAGGCCAACUGUGUAAUCAAUAUCAGUUUAAAUAGGUCCCUUGACAUGAUAGAGGUUCACAAUCACUUUCCACAAGCCUCCACUGCAUGCUAAUGAGAAAGACUGGGGCAAGAGACUGGUGAGAAGAGACCCCUCAGUGACACAGGCAUACAUGAAAUGAUGGGCUGACAGGCGUGAAACACUGCCCACUUCCUCAGACCUUUCUCUUGUACAAAGCAAAGCCACUGGGGGAGAGAUGGCAAACCUUCCUGCCCUAAUGGCCCAGGCAGAGAUCCACUGCUCUUGAAGGACAUGUAGAAGCAGAAAUCUUUUGCCCUUGAGAAAGGCAGAAAAUCUUGUGGGCCCAGGAUCCUGUGCCAAUACCAAGCAGAGAUCCACUCUCACUAGAAGUACAGAAAAUCUCUCCUGUUCAAGAAUUCCCCAAACUGAUAAGUAUAUAAUUCAAAUUGCAAUAAUGCAAUGAAGAUAUAGAGGGAAGUGAUAGAGAAUGAUUAUGAUUAGAGGACCACCUACUUAAGUACAGUGGUGAGGUGAGUCCUCCAUAAUGAGGUGAUAUUUGAGCUAAGACUUAAAAGGAUGAGAUAUCCACCCUAGAUGAGAAUAAAGAGCGUUCUGGAUACAGGAAUAGCAUCUGGAAGACUCCGGAAAGAUUUUGGCUUAUUUGAAGAAUGGAAUACAACCAAUGUGGCUGGAGUCUAAUGGGCAAGGGGGGCAAUAAAGAGAUAAGACUGGAGAGCUAGGAAGAGGCAGCAUUACGCAGGGUUUUGGAAGACAUGGAUGGUAAGGAAUUUAUUUCAAGUGCACCAAGAAGCAGGGGAGAAAUAUGGGAUGCAAAACUUCAGAAGAAUAUUCUGGUUGCCACAAGGAGUGGUCAUGGAGAUGGAGAAUUGAGGAUGGAUUAGAGCUGUAUUUUGGAGGUUUGACCUAUAGACCUUGCUGAUGAAUUGGAUCUAGGUUUUGAGGGAAAAGGAAGAACUACAAAUGACUCAAGUUUCUGAUUUAGUAACUGAAAGAAUGUGGUGCUAUUUACUGAAAUGAGGAAUAGGAAAGCUGGGGUGGUGUUGGGGGUGGACAGAAAAUCAAAAGUUUUAUUUUGUCUAAGAGUGAAAAACCUAUUUGAUUUCAAGUUGACAGUAGGAUACUUCAGUAUGGAGCUCAGUGGAGAGCUUUUCUUCAUUGAUUCAACAAAUAUUGUUUAUUGUCUGCCAGGCACUGUUUUUGGCAAUGAGAAUAAAACAGCCCCUUUCUUCAUGGAACUUACAUUCUAGUGCAGGUGAGAUGGAAAAUAAACAAGUAAAUGUACAGUUGAUACACAGAUGAUAAUGGCUGUGAAAAAAAUAAGACAAAGGAGGGUAGGGAGGGGUAUAGGAGAUUUUAAAAAUAAAGUGUGGAUAAGGAAGGCCUCACUGAUAAGGUAAACUUAAAUAAAACCUAAAAAGGAAAUAAGGGAGCAAGCUUUCAGGUUUUUUGUGAUCAACUCCGUUACUUAAAACAAUUUAGAAUGCUGGAUAAUUUUUAAAAAUCUUUAUUCAAAGGAUUGAGGGGCUGACUGACAAGAGACCAAAAAACUGCUGGGCCAAAAUCUAAGUAAAAGCAGGAAACCAGAGAAUUAAAGGAUGUACUUCAAGUAUUUUUUCCUAAAGCAAUUGUCCAUGUGAGCUGACUUACUCAGCUCUCAUCUUUAUAUUUUAUAUUUUAGUAAGUUAUUUUGCUCUGUUUUUUUUUCUUUUUUUUUUUGAGAUGGAGUUCUGCUCUUUCACCCAGGCUGGAGUGCAGUGGCACAGUCUUGGCUCACUGCAACCUUUGCCUUCUGAUUUCAAGUGAUUCUCCUGCCUCAGCCUCCUGAGUAGCUG